UACGUAGGGGGCUAGCGUUAUCCGGAAUUACUGGGCGUAAAGGGUGCGUAGGUGGUUUCUUAAGUCAGAGGUGAAAGGCUACGGCUCAACCGUAGUAAGCCUUUGAAACUGGGGAACUUGAGUGCAGGAGAGGGGAGUGGAAUUCCUAGUGUAGCGGUGAAAUGCGUAGAUAUUAGGAGGAACACCAGUUGCGAAGGCGGCUCUCUGGACUGUAACUGACACUGAGGCACGAAAGCGUGGGGAGCAAACAGG
rnacentral:rRNA from 1 species